rnacentral:rRNA from 1 species
UACGUAGGGUGCAAGCGUUAAUCGGAAUUACUGGGCGUAAAGCGUGCGCAGGCGGUCGUUCAAGUCGCGUGUGAAAGCCCCCGGCUCAACUGGGGAGGGUCACGCGAUACUGAUCGACUCGAAGGCAGGAGAGGGUAGUGGAAUUCCCGGUGUAGUGGUGAAAUGCGUAGAUAUCCGGAGGAACACCAGUGGCGAAGGCGGCCACCUGGGCUGUACCUGACGCUCAAACACGAAAGCUAGGGGAGCGAACGGG